GGAUCCUCUCACCAUACAUUAGCCAAACGUUUGUCGAAGAAAAGUUUAUUCAAUUUCCGUAAAAAAAAGAAAAAAAUCCAUCGACCAACUUUAGGUAUGAUUGAAAGGGAUACUCUGUUCUUUACCGAAAAGAAAAAAAAAAAAGGAUACUGUUGUGCUUUAGUCUAAUAAAGCUUCUCUUUUGUCAGACUCGGGCAUUUCUGACAAAAUAAUUGACCC
rnacentral:lncRNA from 1 species